AAAUUUUGUUUAUGAUUUUGAUUUUCUGUUUACAGUCGCGACAUGGGCAAGAAAGACAAAAAUAAGGAACCGGCGGACGCUGCAGCAGCUGUGGAUGCACCACCAACCGAUGGCCCGCCGGCGGGCGAGGGCGCCGACGGCGAAAUCGUGGGCGGACCGCGCAAUCCGCAACAAAUUGCGGCACAAAAGCGACUGCAGCAGACGCAGGCCCAGGUCGAUGAGGUCGUGGACAUUAUGCGCACGAAUGUCGAGAAGGUGCUGGAGCGUGAUGCCAAGCUCUCCGAGCUGGACGAUCGUGCCGAUGCCUUGCAGCAGGGCGCCUCGCAGUUCGAACAGCAGGCGGGCAAGCUAAAACGAAAAUUCUGGCUGCAGAAUUUAAAGAUGAUGAUCAUCAUGGGCGUCAUUGGACUGGUCAUUGUGGGCAUCAUAGCAAGUAACUUUAUGUAGCUUGCUAAACUAACUAUAUGCAGCAACUAAUUAGUAACUUAGUUACAAUGCAAUGCCAAAAAUCAACCCAACUAUGUCGACAAUUCAAAUCUCAUUUAACAACCGCUGCGAGUAGAGCACGUUUGAAGAUCGUUCGCUUAAGAAAAAAACACAAACUGAAUUUGAAUUUGAAAUCGAAAUUGACGCCUUACGAAAUUGCCCAAAAAAAAUCCAAAAUCGAACGUUCCAUCGAGCCAUUACAUCCAAUGUAUUUAAGCAAAAAAAAAAAAUUAUAUAAAAAAGAAAGAGACUUCAACAUCAUCUGGUUCCAUACGAUAACAUCUAUCGCACCAGAUAAACUUGGCCUCAUAGGCGGCGAGCCGGCGCCGCAAUAUCCGCAAUAUCCGCCGUAUAUGC